rnacentral:tRNA from 1 species
CGGUCCCGUGGGUGGUACGGGUCGAAUCCGGUCGGUUAUCUCACGGUGAAUACAGGUUCGAAUCCUGUCGGGCCGCC